AACCCAUGGUGAGGGCACCUUUGCAGUAAGUCUUUGUAUCUCUCCCAUGCAUCGUAAAGUGUUUCUAAAUCCAUCUGCACAAAAGAAGAGAUAUCAUUACAUAAUUU
rnacentral:snoRNA from 1 species